UUAAAGAGCUCUAGUUUAAAAAUUCUUUUGAAAUGUGGCUGCAUGUUUAAUGGAUGACACAAUCUAGAGUACGUUAAAAACCUUAAAAGACCGGGAGUCAAACAACUAAUACUUCUUCAUGUGUCUGGUCAAUAUUUUACCAAAAAAAGGUUAUGCGUAUGCAAUCAACUAUUCGAAGUUCGAUGAUUGUUGACUUGUUCAAGCAAUUAUCAUACACUCAAAAUUUUAGAACAAGAAAAUUGUUUAAUUUA